GACGAACGCUGGCGGCGUGCCUAAUACAUGCAAGUUGAGCGCUGAAGGUUGGUACUUGUACCAACUGGAUGAGCAGCGAACGGGUGAGUAACGCGUGGGGAAUCUGCCUUUGAGCGGGGGACAACAUUUGGAAACGAAUGCUAAUACCGCAUAAAAACUUUAAACACAAGUUUUAAGUUUGAAAGAUGCAAUUGCAUCACUCAAAGAUGAUCCCGCGUUGUAUUAGCUAGUUGGUGAGGUAAAGGCUCACCAAGGCGAUGAUACAUAGCCGACCUGAGAGGGUGAUCGGCCACAUUGGGACUGAGACACGGCCCAAACUCCUACGGGAGGCAGCAGUAGGGAAUCUUCGGCAAUGGACGAAAGUCUGACCGAGCAACGCCGCGUGAGUGAAGAAGGGUUUCGGAUCGUAAAACUCUGUUGGUAGAGAAGAACGUUGGUGAGAGCGGAAAGCUCAUCAAGUGACGGUAACUACCCAGAAAGGGACGGCUAACUACGUG
rnacentral:rRNA from 1 species